rnacentral:lncRNA from 1 species
UAAAAUCUCUUUCACCAGUAUUAUUGUGGUGUAUUACUAUAAAAACUUCAUAUGUCGGUAUGCAAUGUGGUUGAAGAAAGAAAAGCAUCAUAUACUAAGUAGAACCAAGAAGAAUGCAUAUGCAAUAGAGCAGCACCUCAGAGACUUUGCCUACUAAAAUACCCUGCAUCAACCACAUACUACUUUCUAAUCAUACAUUGCAGUCCAAGUUAUGCUGUUUUAUUGUUUGGAGCUUCUUCAUUGGGACUAGGAAAUUCAUCAAAUUUAAAGAAUGACUCCGCCUGAAAAGAUGUAAAUGGAAAAGAAGAAUAUUCAUAUCAGGAUUUUAGAACAAGAAGAUCAAUAAAUAAAUGCCUGUCCUGCUCCUGCAACUAAACAGAAAUUAGUAAAUCUCAACAAGGUGAAAGUAAACAAAGAGAAGGGCUUUUGUUGAUAUGCUAUGUACAGCCCAUUUGCCCAAGCCCAAUUACAACACCCAAUACCCAACAGCCCAAUAGCCCAAAAUCAUCAAAAAAUAGGAAAAAACCCUAACCCUAGCCUCUGACAGCCACUUGCGCCGCACCCAGGCCUGCUGGUCAACCACCCCACCGCCGUAGCCACCAACUGCUCUGCCACUUGCGCCGCGCACGUCCCAUCGUCCUCCAUCAGCCCUGCAAAAUGAAGAACACACGCAAGCAGCAACAAACAAUAAAAAUUUGUAAAAUGGCUCUAUAUAAAGCCAUUCGAACAUCAAAAAGGGGGGGAUUUUUUGGUAAAAAAAAAGAGACAACACAUUAGCAGAAAGAAAUAAAAGCAAACAAACAGAUUCCAGGUUGAUUUUUCCAUCAGAUUCGCAUUUUCUUUUUUUAUUUAUUUUCUUUAUUUUGUAUAUCAAAUAGAAAACAAAAAAAGGACGAGAUGAAGCCUUACCUGCGCCGCGCCGGAGAGGAGGGAAGGCGAACGGAUUCCUUCUCUUCUUUUCGGUUUUGACUCGUUUUUUAAAGGAUUCGGCUUUGAAUCCGAGUUCUAAAGGGAGUGGGCUUCAAGCGGGGCUAAGAAAGGUUUUGUUUUGCACCUCCGGCCGCCGUCUGUGGCGGAGCUACGGCGGAGGUGCGCCGGAGCCUUUGGUCGGGUCCUGGGGAGAGGGUGUUGGGAGAGUUUUGACUCUCUCUCUGUUUUUGUUGAAAAUGAAGA